CCUACGGGAGGCAGCAGUGGGGGAUAUUGCACAAUGGGGGGAACCCUGAUGCAGCGACGCCGCGUGGGUGAAGAAGCGCCUCGGCGCGUAAAGCCCUGUCAGCAGGGAAGAAAAUGACGGUACCUGAAGAAGAAGCCCCGGCUAACUACGUGCCAGCAGCCGCGGUAAUACGUAGGGGGCAAGCGUUAUCCGGAUUUACUGGGUGUAAAGGGGGCGCAGACGGCGGUGCAAGCCAGGAGUGAAAGCCCGGGGGCCAACCCCGGGACUGCUCUUGGAACUGCGUGGCUGGAGUGCAGGAGGGGCAGGCGGAAUUCCUGGUGUAGCGGUGAAAUGCGUAGAUAUCAGGAAGAACACCGGUGGCGAAGGCAGCCUGCUGGACUGCAACUGACGUUGAGGCCCGAAAGCGUGGGGAGCAAACAGGAUUAGAUACCCGGGUAGUC
rnacentral:rRNA from 1 species